UACGUAGGGGGCAAGCGUUGUCCGGAUUUAUUGGGCGUAAAGAGCGUGUAGGCGGCCAGGGAGGUCCGUUGUGAAAACUCGAGGCUCAACCUCGAGACGCCGAUGGAAACCCCCUGGCUAGAGUCCGGAAGAGGAGAAUGGAAUUCCUGGUGUAGCGGUGAAAUGCGCAGAUAUCAGGAAGAACACACGUGGCUAAGGCGGUUCUCUAGUACGGUACUGACGCUGAGACGCGAAAGCGUGGGGAGCGAACAGG
rnacentral:rRNA from 1 species